rnacentral:tmRNA from 1 species
GGGGUCGACUGGUUUUGACAGCGAGAUUAAUGAAACAGUAAGCACGUCGUGUAAUGAUUUUGAAACACGUAAAAGGCUAGAUCAACUUUUUUAAACGGCGAGAACAACUACGCUUUAGCUGCUUAAUCUGAAUUAUAGUAAGAUAAGCCUCGUCCUACUAGGUAGGAAUGCUAAAUGUCUCAAGAAAGCCUUAGUUAAUGGCGUUCUUUUAAUGGCAUCGUAAAAAUUGACUGAGAUUACGUAGUGCUUUGAUGCGUUUUCGAGAUUAAAAAGCUAAGUUAUAAGUAGGUUGUCUUUUGCCAGCUUAUAAUCUAAAAUCUAAUGAAAGAACAAGCGUGUAGAAAGCUCUUUGAUUACUUGUUUGGACGAGGGUUCGAUUCCCUCCGACUCCACUU